rnacentral:rRNA from 1 species
AGAGUUUGAUCCUGGCUCAGGAUGAACGCUAGCUACAGGGCUUAACACAUGCAAGUCGAGGGGCAGCAUUUUAGUUUGCUUGCAAACUGAAGAUGGCGACCGGCGCACGGGUGAGUAACACGUAUCCAACCUGCCGAUAACUCCGGGAUAGCCUUUCGAAAGAAAGAUUAAUACCGGAUAGUAUACGAAUAUCGCAUGAUAUUUUUAUUAAAGAAUUUCGGUUAUCGAUGGGGAUGCGUUCCAUUAGUUUGUUGGCGGGGUAACGGCCCACCAAGACUACGAUGGAUAGGGGUUCUGAGAGGAAGGUCCCCCACAUUGGAACUGAGACACGGUCCAAACUCCUACGGGAGGCAGCAGUGAGGAAUAUUGGUCAAUGGGCGCGAGCCUGAACCAGCCAAGUAGCGUGAAGGAUGAAGGCUCUAUGGGUCGUAAACUUCUUUUAUAUGGGAAUAAAGUUUUCCACGUGUGGAAUUUUGUAUGUACCAUAUGAAUAAGGAUCGGCUAACUCCGUGCCAGCAGCCGCGGUAAUACGGAGGAUCCGAGCGUUAUCCGGAUUUAUUGGGUUUAAAGGGAGCGUAGGAGGAUUGUUAAGUCAGUUGUGAAAGUUUGCGGCUCAACCGUAAAAUUGCAGUUGAUACUGG